GACGAACGCUGGCGGCGUGCUUAACACAUGCAAGUCGAACGGGCCUGUCUUCUUUUUUGGGGGUGGGUUGAGUGGCGAACGGGUGAGUAUCACGUGAGUAACCUGCCCUUCGGUCCUGGAUAACCGCUUGAAAGGGCGGCUAAUACGGGGUGGUCCGGUUGGUCCGCAUGGGCUGGUCGGGAUAGAUUCACUGUUUUUGGUGUUUCGGCGGGGGAUGGGCUCGCGGCCUAUCAGCUUGUUGGUGGGGUGAUGGCCUACCAAGGCGGUGAUGGGUAGCCGGGCGGAGGGGGUGGGCGGCCAGACUGGGACUGAGAUACGGCCCAGACUCCUGCGGGAGGCAGCAGUGGGGGGUAUUGCACGAUGGGCGGAAGCCUGAUGCAGCGACGUCGCGUGAGGGAGGGAGGCCUUCGGGUUGUGAACCUCUGUUUCCGGUGGUGAAGGCCCUGUCCGUGUGGUGGGGUUGACGGUAGCCGGGGAUGAAGCGCCGGCUAACUACGUG
rnacentral:rRNA from 1 species